UAAUAGAUGCCCCUCAACGGGGGCCUCACAGGGCAUCCACGCAGGCAACUUGGCACGCAAGGGCUGGCCGGUUGCUUUUUUUCAGCUAUACCACUGCUGGUCCACGUAGCGCUAUCUAAUUGGCUCAAAUAAGGAGAAUACGUGAGACAAAAUCAAUCCAGGACGAAACCCUUCACAAUCGCCGCAGCCGCCGGCCUCUUCCCCAAUCCAACCUCUAUCCUUCCGCCCUUCUCUCUCCCUCGUCAAUACAAUCGCCGCAGCUUCUCUAAUGUUGCUAGGUCGCCUAGGGCGCGAGCGGGGCCCCCGGCCUUGAGCGCGGGUGCCGCGAAAGGCGCGAGCCUCGCGUAUGGCAUGCCCUGUCCGCCAUGCUCACCGCCCGCCGCCGCCAGAGGUUCGGCGGCGCGCCUCCUCGGGGAGCCCGUCCACCACCGUAUUGGGCUUGAGAUUCCCUUCUCCGCCGGCGACGGGGAUGCCCUCUUGUUUGUGCGCGCCUCCCCGCGUGACGUCCUCUCUCGCCCCGGUCGAUCCAGCGACGCAGUCGGCGCUUCUCCUCUGAGUUGUGGGCGCACUGCAAGCGGCGUUGCAGCCCCACUCGAACCGCUGCUGUCCUCCGCGUCGCCUUCCUAUCCGGAGUUGAAUAAAGGAUGAGGACAUGUGUUGAACCGACACCGGUGAUGGUGCGGACGAGCCAGGCAAGAUCUCACAACGCCGGCCCAGGGCCCCUUUCUCAACGAAGGUUCAUGUCCCAAACCCGAAUGCAACUCUAGGGAAGAAACAAAUAGAAGCAUGCUCAAAGACACUAGCAGUUUUAGUUUUAGUCCAAUGAUGUUCAAGGUGUGUUUCGAGGAGAAAUAUGGACUUUUUAUUGUUUGGUAUCUAAUCUAUUUGGGGUGAGUUGCGCCUCUCUGCCGCUGCUGCCCCCUGACAUGAGUGAGCAGUGAGCCAUGGCCAGAGGAGGCAGCGCUGGAUGUGGGGGAUCAAACGAGCGAGUGGACCAAUGGAGGGGUUUCGCCUCCACCGCCACCUUGUUCACCUCGGCUGGAAAUUUUCCGCGUCUAGAACGAAGUCACACAUCCUAGGUAUCUCUCUCUAUGGAAACCGAAUCCUCUAGUGAGCUCUGGGCGUACGUUUUGCCUGCUGAUAGGUGCUGGGUCUGCUACAGGAUGGUCUUCUUUCAUACUAUGGGCAAGGAGAUUAUUUGUAAUCAGGAUGCAAAUGUUAUAUCACAACCUGUGUACCAAGCUUGAUAUUAGUGGCUUAUAAAAAAUGCCCCAAGAAAUCGCACCGUGCCACAAACUGAGAGGAACACAAGAUGGAUGCUUCGACAUUUGAUUCGGUUGUGAUACUCAAAAGGAAGGCAGACAGAGAAUUAUGUCUAUUGAUGAAGAUUUCAGUGUGUGUAUGCAAUUGAAGAAUACCCCAUCCUUCACAUUGGAUUUUGCAUUGCUUGAUCUUUAGGGGAAUAAAAGAAAGACAAGGUCUUCUACUUGUUUCUUUUCAAGUUGUAGGUCAAAAGAAAAGGUCUACCAUUUAAGAUAAAUCCAGCCAACAGCCAGUUCAGAGAACCAGUCUAUACCUACUAAUAAAGGAAGUAAGGUUUCUCCCCUAAAUUUUCGUCCGUUUUCUUUUAAUCCUUGUUUUUGGAUGGAAAUUACAGCCACUGCCAUCGCGUAGAUAUGGUUCGUGUAAGCCGUCAGGCAAGAACAGAAUAUAAAAACCAAGCACGCGGUCACCCUCAAAUCCCCCCAGCCACGAUUCUGGUUGAGCGAACACGAGCGGAUUUAGGGUUUGCAGCGCAAUCUCCGGCCACGACUCCGUCGAAAUCUGCGACCUCGCUGUCCUCCAGGUCGCCACGCAGCCACCGGUCGUCCUCUGUCAAAAGGCAGCAAGAUCAACUCCGGUCAGAGAACCACCAUGGGCUGCCAGAUAGAAGAGGAAGAAACAGACCAUGGUGUUCUGGAUUUCUCCAAUUAUCGAUUAUGGAAAGAGUGGCUCCCAUAGACCUCCUCCCAUCACCUUCCUCGAUCUCAGAAACCUUACCCUAUCCCCUGCCUUAAGCUCGCAGCCGGAGCCAAAUCUCCCCUGCCUCGCGCUCAAUCAGCGCCUCCCUGACCAUGAGAGCCGAUGAUUCAGAGACCGGCGGGCUUGCCCUCUUUAUCAGCUGCCUCGAGCUCGCCGCCGGAGCCGAACCUUCCCUAUAUCGCGCUCAAUCGGCAACCUCCCUCGCCAUGAGAGUCGGCGAUUGGGAGACUGGCAUGGGCGGCGCCCCGGCGGUGGGCUGAGGACGGCGCGCAGGGAUGGGAUCUCGAGCCUCGACUGAUUUGCCCGCCAUGGUGCAGACACCCUUGCCAUCGACGUUGCGGCCACCACCUCACUUUGCACCAGUCCCUGCCACCGACCAUGUACAUACUUACCAAUUUGUUUUUCAGACCAUGAAGGAAAUAUACCGGAAUACAUUGGACAAGGAGGAUUGAGGCUGGGGUGGUCGCACAUGGUGAAUUGGUGAUGAUUGCGUUACAGUAUGAAUUUUGUGAUACAUAGAGAAGAACGGAGAGAUGUUUUGCUGCUAUUACUCCUUGUUGUGGUGGCGUGUGGGGCUGGGCUGGUCUGCUCGGUGCUACUGCCAUGUUUUGAUGUGAUAUUGCUACUACUAUUCUAGUGUUUUGUUGCUGAAUUUUAGUGUUGUGUAGAACUGAAUUUUGGUACACCUGGCAUAACAAGUUUGGCAAAUGCGUUGUACGGGGAUGCUCAGCUCAUCGGUGUUGACGCUCUCGUUAGAUGUGUCGUUGAUGUACAAGUUUCUGCAUUUGAGAGAGGCGUUAACGGCUGAUCUGCACAUGAAGGACGGGGUUCCUACCCUUGCCACUUUUUCUCUUGCUCAAUUCAUUAGUGUCUUGGAUGGUGCGUGUUGGACUUCUGAUGAGGCUAUGUGUGAAAUUUGAUAUUGCUGGCUAAUGGCCGGUAUCCAACAGAAAUGAGAUAGAUGUCCAUGAGAUUUUUGUGCAAUUCAGAAGUCAGUUGAAGGUGGGUGGUGCAUCACAGAAGUUCUUUCCUUCGUUCGCUUCCGACAAAGCGAAAAGCAAAUGAUGUGUGCUCCACUUUCAUUUUCCAUCCCAACACUGUUCUUAUUUCGUUCUAUUUAUUGAUGGAAGCGUAUGCUUAGAUAUCAAUGGAACCAAAUAUAUGAUGUAGCUGCUAUACAUGCAUCCAUCCAGGUGACUCCGAGUGUAAAAAAUAGACGGGACGCGGCAAACUGAAGAUGCUUCAGUCUUCAUUCUGAAUUUUGACAUUGCUGUACCGUGUUUUCUGAGUCUGAAUGCAAAUGCCUUGCAUCUUUUGAGUCAAAUCGAUACAUGGCUUCCUGAGGAGAGGGUAGGUGAUGGGGCUGCUCGAGGCGUCGUGAACUGGAUCACCUUAGUCUGCGACUGCCCCUGUCGGAUUUGGUUGGUGCUGCUUCCCUGUCGGAUUUGGCCCCUGAAGGAAAAAGAAAAUUACAGCAACAGCCAGGACAAUUUCACAAAGGACCUCUAAAGUACCAGCGAAAACGCAAUUGGCUCCUCGGUCCUCUCCACUAGCGACGAGCGUCCUUCGUCGGCGACCUAGACACCGUCGGGGACGCACCACUUGACGGCGGAAGGACGAAGACUCCGACGGGAAACUCUGGGAAGGGCCUCCGAAGUGGAGGUUGAGCUGAGCGCCAUCUAGGCAACUCGAAGGGCCGCCAUUCCGGCCGAAGAACGCAGAAGCAACCAUGGCUUCUGCGUGAUACGCGCGUUGAUGCAGCAGGAUCCAGAUCCACCACCUUGUAGAAGCAAAGAAGACCUCGCUGCUUCGCCUCCUCCCCUCGCCACCACGGCCAGCCGGAAGAAAUUCCACAGCACAGUACCUGCCAACCACAAGGAAGCUGCGCUUAUUGAAGAAGCCGCUGCCAUCAGCCAUCUCGUUCAUCUUCCUCCUCGGAAGCUCGCCCGAAAUCACCGGCAAACACCAUCCCGCGCUGCGCCAUAGCGCAGAGAUAGUCAGGCUCCAGAAGGCAAUCUUAUUGACGGAGAUGCCAUGCUCCAGCGCCCUCACUUGCCACAGCCCCGGCAUCCAGAGCAGAGCAAACAAGAACAUCAGAAGCAGGACGUGCCAGAUCUGAUUGCAAUAACCCAGCAACCUACUCCCAGUCGCCAAAGAGGACAAACGACUACAAAAACUGAACCUAAAAGCUAAUCUACAGAUGCCGGCACCUCGCCGCAGCCAUCUCCACACAGCAGCGCUGCCGGGGACGGCCUUGGUUUGGCCCGGAACGGAGGAGGCGACUCUCAAAACGAGAGGUUACUGUAGAUGGGCGAGAGCAGAAAGGGGGUGUCCCAUAUGGCCAUGGAUAUCAAUGAACAACAUAAACCCCUUUAUGCUUGCUUAUUUGCUGCAAAAUCACAUGCACGUUUUAGGAUUGUUGUGCUUUUGUAGGUACUGAAUUUCGGAAGUCCCACACUUAGUAUUUUUUUUCACAUGUAGAAAGAAAACUUCUGAUUGAUGGUAUUUUCAUUGAAUAUGAGGUUCUUGAUAAAGAGAUUCAGCCAACAACUAAGUCAAGAACUCAGUUUAGGAUAAAGUGUGAUGUUGGAAUAUAUAUGAAUUCAUAUCACUUCUUACUUUGUUAGGAUUUAUUCAACACGUAUUGGAUAUUACUUACUAAUCAUCUAAUUGUACCUUAUUCAUUACUAUUUCUUCAUUUUCCCUUGCCAAUUAGGAUGCCAUGUUCCUUCAUGUCAUGUUAGUAUAAAUAUAUGGUAGUUUACUCUUUGGCAUCGACCAAAUAAACUGUAUCACACUGAAACAUACUAAGAACAACUAUAAUUUCUUAAAUCCCCAAUCUAUCGUUUUGUUAGUAUUAGACCUUUGUUCAACAACCGCAAAUGUAUAUCAGACACAUGUGUUGCACACCCUCGCGAUAAGUCUGUGGAAUUACAAUGUUGGGAAGGAGCGUGUACCAAGUUUAAAUGACAUAUAGGUUACGCAUAAAAUCAUUAAAGUAUGUGGUAUUACAAGUCGGUGCAGAAUCAUGUUGGUCGCAAGUGGAAAACAUGACCACCUUCGUCCAUGCAUAUGAUUCUUGAGUGUUUCAGUUUUACUUUAUUCCGGUGCAACGCACGGGCAUUUUUACUAGUUAUUUGCAUAUGUUCUUUUCUUAGCCAGAAAUCCAGUAAGCUUGACGCCAAAGAGAGGAAAUGGCUUAGUUAUGUUUCCACAUGCUUUUGUGUUGUAACUUUCUAGAACUUCGGCUCUACCUUGAUCUUUUGUGUUCUACUAUGCGAAUGUGGAUGAAACUACUAUAAUAUGCCAACUUUAGCCUGAUGCUUUAUUCAAGAAUCUCUUUUUUAAUACUUGCGAUUGAUAUAAUGUGCAAAUGGUCCAUUGGACUAUCAAACUUCUUUGUCUAAUUGCCUCUGUUUCCAAAAUAUUCUCUCAAAUCGACCUGCCCAGAAUAUUGAUUAAACAAUACAUAUACUUGAGAAUAUCUUUGUGACAUAUUUGUGAAAGUUUCUCCAUUUGAAAAUUCAGAGUUGCCAGAAAAAAUGAAAAAGAAUAGUAAUUCAAAUAAAUGUAUGUACGAAAUCUGGAAAAGUUUCAUUCCAUUUGAGUGGGUGCUUUGAGAGAACGGUUAUUUUGAAUAUUCAAGGAAACGACGCCCGCAGAUGUCACUGUGGUCAGAACAGGCCACUGCCGAGCAGGGCUUUCGCCUCGGCCAUACACCAUGACCUGAUGCAGAGGCAACCGCAUAUGGGGAUGAGGAUAAAGCUGUUGGCUUUAGCCACCACCGACAGGAGGAUAGGAACACUAUUAUUUUAAUGCGAUCCUAAGCAAGCUCAGUGGAAAAUCGUGUUGGUGAGAUACUUUCUCCGCAUUGCUACAGAUUGAUUUGUUCAUUUAACUUAAGAGUGGAAUCACUCCUGAAUUGCUGACUUUGGUGACUGCCCUUUUUUUCAUGUUGAGCAUAUUGCAUUUUAGUUCACCUCUUGUGAGUUCCCUUUUUCCCUUUGAGCAUGCUGCAAUAUUGGUUCAACUCUUGCAGCUGCAGAGACUCAUAUUUUAUGGCCAUAAUUCCUUUGGGUUGAACAUAGGGUAUUAGUCAUAUCCUUUUGUGACGAUAGUUACAUAUGUUGGGAUACAAAUCUGUAUAUAGGUUUUUGGUCUCAUACACUCCUAUUCUGUCCCUUUUAGUAUUCCUUGUAAGCACUUGCUCACUUAGAAUUUUUUCUGUUUAUAGUAUGAAUUUGACAUUUAGCUCAUAUGUUUUUAUGCAUUUUUCAGGAUACACAGUGUUUAAUAAAACUAAGAAGUAAGAAUUUCUUAUACGCACUUUACAUCACUAAGAAAUAGCUCAGUUGUAGCGUUGUCGUUUCUAGGCAUGGAUUGUAAUAACAUGUCGAUGCAAUCCCAGAUGAUGUGCUUUCUACGUAGGUGUUUUUGCGGAGAGUCUUAUAAAUUACCCAUUAGUGUGCACAAAAUAAGGGCUCAUUAUCUAAAGUUCAUUGCAGGAACAUGAAAACUCUAGGUGUCUACGGAUGCCAACAGCAAGUGUCCUGUGCUUGAGCUAACAUCCGCAAUUUAGGUAGCAUAUAGAUCACAUUGCUGCUAUGUUUAUGUAUGUUCACAAUUCCUAGCUGGUCCUAUAUUGAGGUAUGGUCGAUGGUCUCCUUUAUGUACUUUUUUUUAGAUGUAAUGAGUGUGCUGGAAGCUAUCCUUUAUUUCAACCGGUCUUUGUGUCACUUCUGACGGUUCUAACCGAACAAUUUAAUGAAAGGUUAUAUAUUUUCUGUGUC